UCAAAAUGGAAAUUUUAUUGACCCAUAACACUAACCUAACCAUAUAAUUUUGCUAUUCAUUUCGAUACCUGUCAUACAGACAUAACUUAAAAACAAAAUUUGGUUAAAUUUCUGUAGGCGUAGAGUGUUGCUAUAUAUGGAUUGGGUACACGUAAUUUGUGUAGUGAAUAAUGACGUCAUAAAGUUAUAAUAAAUUUUCGAAUGAUUUUUGAAGCUAAUAGAUAUCUAUCUGACUAGAUACCUAUGUUAUAAAAUAAUGAAAUUGUAUUUGCUUGAAAUUAAAAUAUUACA